rnacentral:rRNA from 1 species
UACGUAGGGGGCAAGCGUUGUCCGGAAUCAUUGGGCGUAAAGCGCGUGUAGGCGGCCCGGUAAGUCCGCUGUAAAAGUCCAGGGCUCAACCCUGGAAAGCCGGUGGAUACUGUCGGGCUCGAGUCCGGAAGAGGCGAGUGGAAUUCCUGGUGUAGCGGUGAAAUGCGCAGAUAUCAGGAGGAACACCAAUGGCGAAGGCAGCUCGCUGGGACGGUACUGACGCUGAGGUGCGAAAGCGUGGGGAGCAAACAGG